CAGGUUUCAGGGAGACAGAACUGGAAGUGAGUCUGAAGCUUCAGGAGUGAGGGCGCAGUGGUGACAAUGACUAUGGUUUGUCUUAGGGGACUGCAGGCUCCAGCUGGCCUCUGAAGAGAAUGGCCCGGGUUCCUUUGUUAGGCAAAGUGGGGCAGACUGAGAAGAGCUCUAUUUCCCUAAGACAUUCUGUUUCCAGGUCCUAGAAACCAACUUGAGCAGGCUAAGCGGUACAACAGGGCAGUUAGAGCCAGAUUCUGAAGUUGGGCGGCCUUAGGGUGAGUCCCUUUUCACCCAGUGCUAGCUGUGCAACCCGGGGCUCCGUUUGUUUGCAGGUAAUCUGCAUAAUACAUGGAAUUCCUGGAAGGAUGAUACAGAUGACUUAGAACUACUCAAACUACAGAGACUGACUCAAGAGAAAAGGAAAUCCGAAUAGAUUUACAAAAAGUGAAGGGUCAAGUCAGUGAAAACUUUUCUCUCCGCCCAGGAAGAGGAAAAACAGGCCUGGAACUCAGAGACUUCAGCAGGCCACGGUAUCGAGUUGGAAUCUGAGACCCAGGUGUUCUCGCUGUAUUUAUUCCU